AUCAACUUUCGAUUGGUAGGAUAGAGGCCUACCAUGGUUUUAACGGGUAACGGGGAAUUAGGGUUCGAUUCCGGAGAGGGAGCNUGAGAAACGGCUACCACAUCCAAGGAAGGCAGCAGGCGCGCAAAUUACCCAAUCCCGACACGGGGAGGUAGUGACAAUAAAUAACAAUACGGGGUUCAUUUGGGUCUCGUAAUUGGAAUGAGUACAAUUUAAAUCCCUUAACGAGGAACAAUUGGAGGGCAAGUCUGGUGCCAGCAGCCGCGGUAAUUCCAGCUCCAAUAGCGUAUAUUAAAGUUGUUGCAGUUAAAAAGCUCGUAGUUGAAUUUCGGGAUCAGUACGCUGGUCGUGCCUUCGGUAUGCACUGGUGUCACUGGUUUCUCCCUUCUGAAGAACCAUCAUGCCAUUCAGUUGGUGUGGCGGGAAAUCAGGACUGUUACUUUGAAAAAAUUAGAGUGUUUAAAGCAGGCUCGCGCUUGAAUACAUUAGCAUGGAAUAAUGAAAUAGGACGUUUGACCCUAUUUUGUUGGUUUCUAGGAUCGACGUAAUGAUUAAUAGGGAUAGUUGGGGGCAUUAGUAUUCAAUUGUCAGAGGUGAAAUUCUUGGAUUUAUUGAAGACUAACUACCGCGAAAGCAUUUGCCAAGGAUGUUUUCAUUAAUCAAGGACGAAAGUUAGGGGAUCGAAGACGAUCAGAUACCGUCGUAGUCUUAACCAUAAACUAUGCCGACUAGGGAUCGGAUGAUGUUAAUUUUUUAAUGACUCAUUCGGCGCCUUACGGGAAACCAAAGUGUUUGGGUUC
rnacentral:rRNA from 1 species